CGAACGCUGGCGGCGUGCUUAACACAUGCAAGUCGAACGGAAAGGCCCUGCUUUUGUGGGGUGCUCGAGUGGCGAACGGGUGAGUAACACGUGAGUAACCUGCCCUUGACUUUGGGAUAACUUCAGGAAACUGGGGCUAAUACCGGAUAGGAGCUCCUGCUGCAUGGUGGGGGUUGGAAAGUUUCGGCGGUUGGGGAUGGACUCGCGGCUUAUCAGCUUGUUGGUGGGGUAGUGGCUUACCAAGGCUUUGACGGGUAGCCGGCCUGAGAGGGUGACCGGCCACAUUGGGACUGAGAUACGGCCCAGACUCCUACGGGAGGCAGCAGUGGGGAAUAUUGCACAAUGGGCGGAAGCCUGAUGCAGCAAUGCCGCGUGCGGGAUGACGGCCUUCGGGUUGUAAACCGCUUUCGCCUGUGACGAAGCGUGAGUGACGGUAAUGGGUAAAGAAGCACCGGCUAACUACGUG
rnacentral:rRNA from 1 species